GCCGAUGUGGUGGAAUUGGUAGACACGCUAUCUUGAGGGGGUAGUGGGGCAACCCGUGGGAGUUCGAGUCUCCCCAUCGGCA
rnacentral:tRNA from 1 species